UACGAAGGUGGCAAGCGUUUGUUCGGAUUUACUGGGCGUAAAGGGAGCGUAGGUGGUUAGGUAAGCCCUCCGGGAAAUCUUCAGGCUUAACCUGAAAAGGUCGGGGGGGACUGCCUAGCUAGAGGGCGGGAGAGGAGCGCGGAAUUCCCGGUGUAGCGGUGAAAUGCGUAGAGAUCAGCAGGAAUACCCGUGGCGAAAGGCGGCCCCCUGGGCCGAACCUGACGCUGAGGCGGCGAAGGCUAGGGGAGCCGGAACGGGG
rnacentral:rRNA from 1 species